ACGUUGUGGGUUAUUCUUUCUUCAAGAAGGUAGAGAAAACAGUUUGCUCCCACUGGAAAGCAAGCCUUUCGAAGUCGCCUUCUCAACAGCUGGAUAAGAGCACUAACUAAAGGACAUUCAAAUUUUGACGUCGGACAGCUGUGGACCGCAACAAAUAAUAAUUAGAGGCAAGGACAAGACGGUGGUCACUGGUUAUACCGUCAGGCUUUAGGCCCUGGCUUUCCAGCACCUGGACUCGCCGAGCAAACACCGCCCGUCUCAGUGCCAGCCUUCUCACCAAGACUACAGGCUCUGUAUGUUCCAGGACCUUCACUGAAGAUAUUAGCUGUCAAAACAGACUGGAUGUGACAUGCGAGCAUAGCCGGAAACCCGACAAGAGGUCAUUGAUAGAAUUUGUUGAGUCCGAACAAGCUCCUUGAAGCAUCGUCGAAAGGCAGCCUUCCGGACGUUUCCCCUUCAUGUUGACUAACUUCUGCGCUUGAAAGAUCAUGUCUCCUCUCCUGAUGGACGUAGCAGCAGCAGCAGCGGUAGCAGCAAAGAAAUUAUUGCACUUCAUGCAUCAGGAUUCAAACUGGGGAAGCCAUCACUGGACAUGAAAACAUACCUAUCCUGUAUCUACUUGAACAGACCUCAUAUCCUGCAACUUCGUUAAGAGUGCUUCAAUGAUGAAGGUGUAACCCAUUGAAUCCUGCCAAGUUGUCCCUGGGCAGAGCGGCUGGCAACUUGGGUUGACAUGAUGGACAGUAGGUCUACACUUGACGGGAGCAAAGCAUUGCACACUCUGCAUACUGUUCCAGCAUCCAGGAUAUACUCUCAUACUGGAGGUAAGACGCGUAAGUCCAAAUCGACAAUGCUCCCAAACCCAUCCCCUAGCUUCGAGGGGUGGGGAGGAAAACUGCCGCCACAUUAUGCCUUGUACAAUGCUCAUUUGUAAACUUGACUCGACGAAUAACACCCUUAUCUCACCAGCAAUGCAUUUCCAAACCUUGUGUGUGUUCUCUGAGAGCUAGGAGUAUUCAUAUACAUUGCACUGCAGCACUAGGUCAGACAUGUGUCUCAAU